rnacentral:rRNA from 1 species
UAGGGAAUCUUCGGCAAUGGACGGAAGUCUGACCGAGCAACGCCGCGUGAGUGAAGAAGGUUUUCGGAUCGUAAAGCUCUGUUGUAAGAGAAGAACGAGUGUGAGAGUGGAAAGUUCACACUGUGACGGUAUCUUACCAGAAAGGGACGGCUAACUACGUGCCAGCAGCCGCGGUAAUACGUAGGUCCCGAGCGUUGUCCGGAUUUAUUGGGCGUAAAGCGAGCGCAGGCGGUUAGAUAAGUCUGAAGUUAAAGGCUGUGGCUUAACCAUAGUAGGCUUUGGAAACUGUUUAACUUGAGUGCAAGAGGGGAGAGUGGAAUUCCAUGUGUAGCGGUGAAAUGCGUAGAUAUAUGGAGGAACACCGGUGGCGAAAGCGGCUCUCUGGCUUGUAACUGACGCUGAGGCUCGAAAGCGUGGGGAGCAAACAGGAUUAGAUACCCUGGUAGUCCACGCUGUAAGCGAUGAGUGCUAGGUGUUAGACCCUUUCCGGGGUUUAGUGCCGUAGCUAACGCAUUAAGCACUCCGCCUGGGGAGUACGACCGCAAGGUUG